AUUGAACGCUGGCGGCAUGCCUUACACAUGCAAGUCGAACGGUAACGGGCCUUCGGGUGCCGACGAGUGGCGAACGGGUGAGUAAUGCAUCGGAACGUACCUUUCAGUGGGGGAUAACGUAGCGAAAGUUACGCUAAUACCGCAUACUCUGUGAGCAGGAAAGCAGGGGAUCGCAAGACCUUGCGCUGAUUGAGCGGCCGAUGUCAGAUUAGCUAGUUGGUGGGGUAAAGGCGCACCAAGGCGACGAUCUGUAGCGGGUCUGAGAGGAUGAUCCGCCACACUGGGACUGAGACACGGCCCAGACUCCUACGGGAGGCAGCAGUGGGGAAUUUUGGACAAUGGGGGCAACCCUGAUCCAGCCAUGCCGCGUGAGUGAAGAAGGCCUUCGGGUUGUAAAGCUCUUUCGGCCGGGAAGAAAUCGCACAGGCUAAUACCUUGUGUGGACGACGGUACCGGAAUAAGAAGCACCGGCUAACUACGUGCCAGCAGCCGCAGUAA
rnacentral:rRNA from 1 species